rnacentral:rRNA from 1 species
UACGGAGGGAGCUAGCGUUGUUCGGAAUUACUGGGCGUAAAGCGUACGUAGGCGGUUACUCAAGUCAGAGGUGAAAGCCCGGGGCUCAACCCCGGAACUGCCUUUGAAACUAGGUAGCUAGAAUCUUGGAGAGGCGAGUGGAAUUCCGAGUGUAGAGGUGAAAUUCGUAGAUAUUCGGAAGGACACCAGUGGCGAAGGCGACUCGCUGGACAAGUAUUGACGCUGAGGUACGAAAGCGUGGGGAGCAAACAGG